ensembl:snRNA U6 U6 spliceosomal RNA
GUGCUCACUUUGGCAGCACAUAUACUAAAAUUGGAACAAUGGAAGAUUAGCAUGGCCCCUGUGUGAGGGUGACCCCCAAAUUCAUGGAGCAUGACAUAUUUUU